AAUACAUAUACAUAUGUGUGUGACAAAAGAUUACGAUCAAGGAAAUCUGAUUUAAGAAAAAGAAAAAAAAAAAAUGGGUGAAUAUCUAACUGUGGAAAAAGGCAUCACUUUGAACAUGAUGGCAGACAUGUUUUACUCUCCUGAGUUUUAUUUUGUGUGUGUGUGUGCGUGUGUAUACAUACAUACACACAUAUACAUAUGCAUAUAUAUAUAUACAUACACGCAUACAUACACAUAAUAUAUACAUGUGUAUACAUAUAUAUGUGCACAUAUAUAUAUAAAUACACACAUAUACAUAUCCACACACACACACACAUAUAUAUAUAUAUAUAUAUAUAUAUACUUACAUACAUAUAUAUAUGACUUAUGGUAGCCACUGUCAUGUAUUGCUUUCGCUUUCAAACUGAAACAGUACAAUAAAGACACACUGGUACAGACUUGUUCUUUUUUUAAACCUUUUUCUCUUUUUUUUAGCAGAACCAUCAAAAAGGUUCCAGUUAGUUUAGUAUGCAAAGGGAUUCAUACUGACAUUAGUAGCAUCUCUCAAGAAACAGACCCUUUGAAAUAGCAUAAGUUUGGUAUUGUAUUGUUAUUUAUAUUGCCUGGCAAUGAUUAAUUUGCCAAUAUUCUCAAGCAAUUUAGAAAGCAGAAGGAUUGGAGUGACCUACUGAAUGUUUACCCUAAAAUUUAUCAGAAAUAAAUAAAUAUGGUUUUAAAUAAA
rnacentral:lncRNA from 1 species